rnacentral:rRNA from 1 species
AGUGAACGCUGGCGGUAGGCCUAACACAUGCAAGUCGAACGGCAGCACAGUAAGAGCUUGCUCUUACGGGUGGCGAGUGGCGGACGGGUGAGGAAUACAUCGGAAUCUACUUUUUCGUGGGGGAUAACGUAGGGAAACUUACGCUAAUACCGCAUACGACCUACGGGUGAAAGCAGGGGAUCUUCGGACCUUGCGCGAUUGAAUGAGCCGAUGUCGGAUUAGCUAGUUGGCGGGGUAAAGGCCCACCAAGGCGACGAUCCGUAGCUGGUCUGAGAGGAUGAUCAGCCAGACUGGAAGUGAGACACGGUCCAGACUCCUACGGGAGGCAGCAGUGGGGAAUAUUGGACGAUGGGCGCAAGCCUGAUCCAGCCAUACCGCGUGGGUGAAGAAGGACUUCGGGUUGUAAAGCCCUUUUGUUGGGAAAGAAAAGCAGCAGGUUAAUACCCCGCUGUUCUGACGGUACCCAAAGAAUAAGCACCGGCUAACUUCGUG